rnacentral:tRNA from 1 species
GGAUGUAGUUCAGUUGGUUAGAAUGUCGGUUUGUGGUACCGAAGGUCGUGGGUUCGAGCCCCAUCUUC